GCCACCUAAAAGAACACAUGAUAAUUCAUACAGGACAAAAACAUUUGGCUGUUCUGAAUGUGGUCAGACAUUUGGAGAAAAGGGCUCUCUGAACAGACACAUGAUAAUUCAUACAGGACACAAGCGAUUUGUCUGUUCUGAAUGUGGUCAAAGAUUUGGAGAAAAGAUCAUCUUGAAAAGACACAUGAUAAUUCAUACAGGACAAAAA